rnacentral:lncRNA from 1 species
CUGCAUGGCCACAAUGUCCUGGAAUGCCACGCUGGGAGGGCCAUAUCUGUGGGCGAGCUCCCGCUGAUCACUUAUCAACCUCUGCGCGCCCAGUGGAGACUGUGCAAAGUACUCCUUUACGUCCUGUGCAGUCAUCUUUGGGCCAUAGCGCUCUCCAGUGAAGGCCCUGAGGCAGGCAGACUGGCGUGAUCGUGUGCAGGACUUAUAGUGUUGGCACAACUCCAUCAAUUGCCGCUGAACUUGCACGAUCUGAAACUCAGAAUGGUGAUUACGCACUCCUCGCGUGCCGCGGCAUAGACAUUGCCAACAGUGAUUGCUGGGACGAUGCCCUCAGAGCUGCCCCUUUCUGCCAUGCUGUACGUCACACUGAAGUCCAGCCGGGGGUGCAUGAAGCCUGCUCUUGCUGCCGGCUGUUCUCCAGCGCCACUUUCCUCUGGCAACCCCUCUUCCAUGUGUCUGCCCUCCACAUGGCGCGAUGGGCUGGCAGGGUGUGCUGAUUCAAU